GAGGGAUGGCCGCCGGGAGGGAGGGAGGGAAGCGGCCGCGGGUGUUUGUGUCGCCCCCGCCGCCGGGUCACAGGUUUAUAUAUAUUUUUUUAAGAUGCUGACUCACGCUGAGGUACAGUUUCAUGCUACCCGUCUGUACCACAGCCACCGUUCCAUGGAUGCCAUCUUGUCCCUUGUACUUCGCCCAAGUGGCCGUUCUUCAUGUUUGACUUUGGAUGAUAUAUAGAUAUGCUUGAGUUAAGCAAUUGAAUAUGAAUGGGAAGGAAACCUGGAUUGAAAGAAGGUGAAGAGAGGUCAAUCACAUUGCCAGGUGCGUUAAUGGUAGGUCAAAAAAUCGGUUUAGAAAACUACAAUGCAGCGUGAGUAAGGUGCUAUUCUUUACAAAUUGUGACUUGUCUUAAUAAUUCCUGCCCACUAGCCUACACGCACACCUAUCCAUCAAGUAUGAUGGCACACAUUUCAUGCUGAGUUGUGGUCGUAGCUGGACAAGCAGUGGGACGCUUGCCAAAUGGUGUUUUCAAUGGCAAACUCUGCGGAUUGAGAUGGUUCAAUCACACAUCAAUGGCAACUCUUAAGUGGAAACCCAGCACAGAUACUCCAGCCUCAAAUGUAAUCAAGGAGAAACUCCAGAAAGUUCAUCAUUAGCACCACUAUUGAAAGCAAGCCUUUGCCUCUACAUACAAUUUUUCCAGUAGGACUAGAAGCAUAGAAAUUGUUUUCCUGUGGGGAAAAAAAUGUCCAUAUGUCCUCCAGCACUACACAAGAUUCCUGCCCAAUAAUUGUUGAAGGAGUUAAUGAGUGCAGUAUCAAUUGUUUUUGCUUGGAGUCUGUUCCACAUAUACAGAGCUCUUUUGUGUGUCUGCAUGUGUUUUAGGUUAAUUUCAGAAUGUGAGGACACAUUCUGAUCUUAAUUGAUUAGGAUAUUUUUCUUCACAUUUACAGCUGCAUAAUCAUAAGUAUGCUUAAUCAGGAAAUUUAUGAAUUUGAGAACCUAAUGCUCUG